CUUAGCUAUCCAUUGAAAAACUUCUGCCUACUCGCCAUCUCUCCAGCUAAGACGUGUCACAGCUCUAACAGAAAAGAGUGCGCAAGAGGCGGAUUGAGGGAGACCAGCAGUAAGCGUGCCCAGCGAGGGGUAACCGCUAGAAGACUGCAGAUCACAGAGGCUCAUGCGUGUGGCAGCAGAUGUAAACAUUUCCUGGGUGGAAGGGAAAAGACUGGAAAUCUUUUUUUAACUAUAUACAUUAUUUUCCUAGCUUACAGUAUUAUAUUUGAUUUGUAAAAUCAGUAGUAGGUAGUGUUUUGUAUUUGUAUCAUUUCUACUGAAACCAGUUUAAUUGAAUGGUUUGUAAUGAUUUUUAGGUAAAAAUGCAGUUGUAGAAAGUUUCAGAAGUCGUGUAUGUAAGAAUAAUUUGAAUGAACAUCUUGGGGACCAAUCUUUUAAAUCAAAAGGGACGUUGCUAACUCAAGACUAAUGUUGUUCCUUACACAUUUAUGGUCAGGCACAUGGUGGUUUCCUUUUUAAAAUCCAUGAAUUAGGCAAACGUUUACUUAUUCCUUAUUAGGGAAAUAAAAUGUUGGAAUGUU
rnacentral:lncRNA from 1 species